rnacentral:rRNA from 1 species
AAUAGAUACCCUGGUAGUCCACGCCGUAAACGAUGAGUGCUAGGUGUUGGGGGGUCCACCCCUCGGUGCCGAAGUUAACACAUUAAGCACUCCGCCUGGGGAGUACGGUCGCAAGACUGAAACUCAAAGGAAUUGACGGGGACCCGCACAAGCAGUGGAGUAUGUGGUUUAAUUCGAAGCAACGCGAAGAACCUUACCAGGUCUUGACAUCCCUCUGAAUCCUCUAGAGAUAGAGGCGGCCUUCGGGACAGAGGAGACAGGUGGUGCAUGGUUGUCGUCAGCUCGUGUCGUGAGAUGUUGGGUUAAGUCCCGCAACGAGCGCAACCCUUGAAUUUAGUUGCCAGCACUUUAAGGUGGGCACUCUAGAUUGACUGCCGGUGACAAACCGGAGGAAGGCGGGGAUGACGUCAAAUCAUCAUGCCCCUUAUGACCUGGGCUACACACGUACUACAAUGGCCGGUACAACGGGCAGCGAAGGAGCGAUCCGGAGCCAAUCCUACCAAAGCCGGUCUCAGUUCGGAUUGCAGG